CAAUACAUAAACAAAUCUGAAAUUCAACUGUUGCCGCCGAUCAAAUCCGUCGAUCUAGUGUUAAUGGAGUCGCCGAUUAUACUCUCUCUACUCCUCCUAAUCCGUACGUAUGUACUCAUCAAAUCCGUCGAAAUCUGCCGAAAUCUCCUCCUAACCUUAGAUCUGGUGUUAAUGGAGUCGAUCUGGUAUUAGUGGAGUCGCCGGUUAUACUCUCUCUACUACGUGAUAGAAGUGGUAACGGACAUAGGCUUUGCGCAUACCCAUUACCACAAUUCAAACUACUACUUCGCUUGAAUUGCCAAAACGACUUUGACUUUUGCUUCUGAUCUUCUACGUGUGACAAAAUUACUGGUUUUCCGCCGCCAUGAUGAUCAUCAUAUGGUGGUGGCGGUGGUGGUUGGAGUGGCGGUGGCGGAGA
rnacentral:lncRNA from 1 species